UACGUAGGCAGCGAGCGUUGUUCGGAGUUACUGGGCGUAAAGGGUGUGUAGGCGGUUGUUUAAGUUUGGUGUGAAAUCUCCCGGCUCAACUGGGAGGGUGCGCCGAAUACUGAAUGACUUCGAGUGCGGGAGAGGAGAGUGGAAUUCCUGGUGUAGCGGUGAAAUGCGUAGAUAUCAGGAGGAACACCGGUGGUGUAGACGGCUCUCUGGACCGGUAACUGACGCUGAGACACGAAAGCGUGGGUAGCAAACAGG
rnacentral:rRNA from 1 species